GAUGAACGCUGGCGGCGUGCUUAACACAUGCAAGUCGAACGGUAAGGCCCUUCGGGGUACACGAGUGGCGAACGGGUGAGUAACACGUGGGUGAUCUGCCCUGCACUUCGGGAUAAGCCUGGGAAGCUGGGUCUAAUACCGGAUAGGACCACUGCCUGCAUGGGUGGUGGUGGAAAGCUUUUGCGGUGUGGGAUGGGCCCGCGGCCUAUCAGCUUGUUGGUGGGGUGAUGGCCUACCAAGGCGACGACGGGUAGCCGGCCUGAGAGGGUGACCGGCCACACUGGGACUGAGAUACGGCCCAGACUCCUACGGGAGGCAGCAGUGGGGAAUAUUGCACAAUGGGCGCAAGCCUGAUGCAGCGACGCCGCGUGAGGGAUGACGGCCUUCGGGUUGUAAACCUCUUUCAGCACCGACGAAGCGCAAGUGACGGUAGGUGCAGAAGAAGGACCGGCCAACUACGUGCCAGCAGCCGCCGUAA
rnacentral:rRNA from 1 species